rnacentral:lncRNA from 1 species
CUGUCAUUAUUGGCUAAAGGAGCAGUGGAUACAUCAUCCUCAGAAGGAAUUACAAGAUCAACGUCUUCUUGAAAAUCAAUGGUACCCAAACUCUCAGGGAGACUGGAUAUUUUCUGAGGUAAGGACGCAAUAGUUCUAAAACCAGGUGUCUCGAGAUCAUUUGACUGAGCUUUAGCAUCAAGAGGUGACGUCAAAACCAGUUCUAUACUAUUUUCAUUCAUAGCAGAUUCUUCGGCGACAGGUAUCACUUGCUCUUUUUCAAGAGGAAAUUCAGAAGUAGGUGUUUCUAAUAGCCUGCAAAUCUCUUUAUUGACCUUUUCUGAAACAGCAAGAGCAUUUUUAGUUUCAAGAGAAAAAACAGUUAUUGUGUCGGAUUUGUUUUUCAUGGGAAUAUCAGAAUCUCCAUUUUCAUCUGCCAAUGAUUUUUCAACAUUAUCAGCUGCAACAAGAAUAUUUUUAACCUCGACAUUAUCGCUGUGUUUUCCUUUCUUUUUCUUCUUACGACGUUUACUUCUGUCAUUAUUGACUAAAGGAGCGGUGGAUACAUCAUCCUCAGAAGGAAUUACAAGAUCAACGUCUUCUUGAAAACCAAUGGUACCCAAACUCUCAGGGAGACUGGAUAUUUUCUGAGGUAAGGACGCAAUAGUUCUAAAACCAGGUGUCUCGAGAUCAUUUGACUGAGCUUUAGCAUCAAGAGGUGACGUCAAAACCAGUUUUAUACUAUUUUCAUUCAUAGCAGAUUCUUCGGCGACAGGUAUCACUUGCUCUUUCUCAAGAGGAAAUUCAGAAGUAGGUGUUUCUAAUUGCCUGCAAAUCUCUUUAUUGACCUUUUCUGAAAUAGCAAGAGCAUUUUUAGUUUCAAGAGAAGAAACAGUUAUUGUGUCGGAUUUGUUUUUAAUGGGAAUAUCAGAAUCUCCAUUUUCAUCUGCCAAUGAUUUUUCAACAUUAUCAGCUGCAACAAGAAUAUUUUUAACCUCGACAUUAUCGCUGUGUUUUCCUUUCUUUUUCUUCUUACGACGUUUACUUCUGUCAUUAUUGACUAAAGGAGCGGUGGAUACAUCAUCCUCAGAAGGAAUUACAAGAUCAACGUCUUCUUGAAAACCAAUGGCACCCAAAUUCUCAGGGAGACUGGAUAUUUUCUGAGGUAAGGACGCAAUAGUUCUAAAACCAGGUGUCUCGAGAUCAUUUGACUGAGCUUUAGCAUCAAGAGGUGACGUCAAAACCAGUUCCUUACUAUUUUCAUUCAUAGCAGAUUCUUCGGCGAAAGAUAUCACUUGCUCUUUUUCAAGAGGAAAUUCAGAAGUGGGUGUUUCUAAUUGCCUGCAAAUCUCUUUAUUGACCUUUUCUGAAACAGCAAG